rnacentral:rRNA from 1 species
AUCUGGGCGGCGGAAUUCAGGAUGGCGGGCGCGAUCUUCGCGGCGCGUUCGUCGUUUGAUAUUUCCGUCGCCGACUCAACCCGCAGACGUCGCGACCUGUUCGCGGUCGGUCCUUGCUCGGAGGAGUCACGUUCGAGUUUGUUGCGUGCGCGUUUCUGCGCGUUACGCGGCAAAGGCGUGAAUCUCUGGCUGGCCGUCGGACAGUACGCUUAACGGUGUCCGGUGUCGUCGUCUCGUACGCGCGCGCACCGGUACCGGUCGGCGACGAAUUCUUCGGGCCUCUUUCCGACCCGUCUUGAAACACGGACCAAGGAGUCUAACAUGCGCGCGAGUCGCGGGGUGUCGAGCGCAUCACGGUGCGUUCGUUACGUUGCGAAACCCGUACAUGUUGAAGGCGUAAUGAAAGUAAAUGGGGAAGAUGGUGUUCCGAGUACACGUUCCGCGGUCAUUGGUACCGCGGCCGGACACCCGCAUUCCCGGGGCGUCUCAACGGCCCGUCGCGGAUGCGGGCAGUCGUCUCUCGGGGCGGCUGUCGGUCUGCGACGAACCGA